rnacentral:snoRNA from 1 species
AAGACUAUACUUUUAGGGAUCAUUUCUUUAGUUGUUGAUUUGAGAAAUGUGUUUCUAAAGUGUUUGUUCUCGCUGUCCACGAUGAAGAGUUCAGAUGUUUCUUUUAGAGCAGGAAUCUGGUGGGAAGAUUGUAUUUUUUCUCCACUGUUGAAGAUUGUUCAGAGUUUCUGAAAGACUCUGAUGGCGGAAGCAUGAUCUGAGUGGA